rnacentral:lncRNA from 1 species
GUGAGCUGUCCUCCAAGGGGAAGCCUGAGGACGAGGAACACCAGAAAAACGGAAAAGCACAUGGCUAAAUGUUGGUGGAAAGCUACUAACCCAAGUAUGGCAAGAAUUUUCAUUCUAUUUUCAAAGCGACUAAGCAAAGCAUAACAAGCUUUGCUGGGAUACCUACCCUUGAAGAACGGAUCACCUAAUAGGGGUACAGAACACAGCUGCCGAAGCAGGAAUUUAUCUUGGCACCUGCUGAUGGACGCGUGCACACAAGGAUCCAGAGAUUGAGUGAAGGAAGAUGCCUGGGACCAAGGAAAGCAGAAAUGGCGGGGCAUGCAUUACCUGUGGCAAUGGCGGAGUCUGGAGGGAAAGGCUGAUUUUGCUGGGGUCUGCAUCCAUGACCAUCCGCCCCUGCCUUGGAGCGAAGGCUGCAGAAGUGAAACCUUUGUCAUCAGCACUCUUCAGACCAUCAGAUGCAACUUUCCGCUUCCUUCUCACAGUCCAGACCCAAGCAAAUGACCUCAGGGAAUAGCAGCAAUAAUUUGCAUAAAGGCUGAUUGUCACAUCUUCUUUGAGUAGUUUGGGAAGGGGGCAGGAACUACCGUGGUUGAGCCCUACUGUGUGCUGAGUGCAAUGCUAGGCUCCCAGGUACCCCAUUUCCUUUUAUCCUCUAGGCAGCCCUACGAGUGGGAUACUAUUGUUCCCAUUUGGUAGAUGAGGGGACUGAGGCUCUGAAUGCCCAUGUGAGUUGCUCAACAUCAGCACAAUCGGGAAGUGACAGACCCAUAGACUGAAAGCCACAUCAGCCCGGCUCCAUAUCCUGUGCUCGCUUGUGACGUCACUGUCCCUUCCCGGCACUCCAGGUUGGAGUGGUUUGGAACACAGCUACUGAAAUCUUCCCCAUUAGGAAUUCAGAAAUGACAUCGUCCAACGCCUUCAUUUUAUAGGUCGAAUGAGUUAGCAACGUGAAUGUAUGUCUAAACUCUGGGUAGUUGUGCCGUGAGCGUUGGCUUCCUGUCGUCACAGCUUAGAAACCAGAGGUUUAGGGAGAUGCCCAGGUCGCUUGCCUGAGGUUACGGAGCAGGUUAGCAGCAAACCUAUACUCUAAGGCUGUCUCGGGCUUCUGAUCUUUCCAGACACCCCCUCCCCCCACCUCCCCAGCCACGUAAGGCUUCGAGUCAAGGGCUGUUGUGUCAAUGACGAAGAGAAAGAGGAAGAGCUGUCAGGCCUACAGGGGCCUUGAUGCUUACUUAGUUCUGGAGGAAAUUGAGAAAGUCUCGAAGUCCCCUGUCCCCUACAUCCUUGUCCCCUGCCCCUCCUCCCCCUAGAUAGGGAGGGAUGGGGGUGCAAGGGAAAACCUCUCUGGAUGGCUUGUAUUCAGAUUUGCAGCCAAGCAGUAUUUAUUCAGCCCUAUUCGUGCCAAGCACCCAAUCCCCACCCUUCAGGCCCUGGCAGGUUAGUGAGGGACCAAGAAGCAACCAGACACUGAGAGUUCCGUGCUACCACUGGGGUCAGCAUCAGGUGCUGCGGGG